rnacentral:rRNA from 1 species
UAGGGAAUUUUCGUCAAUGGGCGCAAGCCUGAACGAGCGAUGCCGCGUGAGUGAAGAAGGCCUUGGGUCGUAAAGCUCUGUUGCGGGGGAAAAAAGGCAUCUGCAGGAAAUGGUAGAUGACAGAUGGUGCCCCGCCAGAAAGUCACGGCUAACUACGUGCC